rnacentral:rRNA from 1 species
UGGGGAAUUUUCCGCAAUGGGCGAAAGCCUGACGGAGCAAUACCGCGUGAGGGAGGAAGGCUUUUGGGUUGUAAACCUCUUUUCUCAAGGAAGAAGCAAGUGACGGUACUUGAGGAAUCAGCAUCGGCUAACUCCGUGCCAGCAGCCGCGGUAAUACGGAGGAUGCAAGCGUUAUCCGCAAUCAUUGGGCGUAAAGCGUCCGCAGGUGGCACUUCAAGUCUGCAGUCAAAGACAGAAGCUUAACUUCUGAAAGGCAGUGGAAACUGGGGAGCUAGAGUACGGUAGGGGUUGAGGGAAUUCCCAGUGUAGCGGUGAAAUGCGUAGAGAUUGGGAAGAACACCAGUGGCGAAGGCGCUCAACUGGGCCGAGACUGACACUGAGGGACGAAAGCUAAGGUAGCGAAAGGGAUUAGAUACCCCCGUAGUCC